rnacentral:rRNA from 1 species
CCUACGGGUCGCACCAGUGGGGAAUAUUGCACAAUGGAGGAAACUCUGAUGCAGCGACGCCGCGUGAAGGAUGAAGGUUUUCGGAUCGUAAACUUCUUUGAUCGGGGACGAAAAAUGACGGUACCCGAAGAACAAGCCACGGCUAACUACGUGCCAGCAGCCGCGGUAAUACGUAGGUGGCAAGCGUUGUCCGGAUUUACUGGGUGUAAAGAGCAUGUAGGCGGGAAUACAAGUCAGAUGUGAAAUACUGCGGCUCAACUGCAGAAUGGCAUCUGAAACUGUAUUUCUUGAGUACUGGAGAGGAAAGCGGAAUUCCUAGUGUAGCGGUGAAAUGCGUAGAUAUUAGGAGGAACACCGGUGGCGAAGGCGGCUUUCUGGACAGUUACUGACGCUGAGAUGCGAAAGCGUGGGGAGCAAACAGGAUUAGAUACCCGAGUAGUC